rnacentral:lncRNA from 1 species
UGGAAGCUCCCAGGCUAGAGGUCAAACUGGAGCUGUAACCACCAGCCUACGCCACAGCCACGUCAGAUCCAAGCUACCUCUGCAACCUACACCACAGCUCAUGGCAACGCCGGAUCCUUAACCCACUGAGCGAGGCCAGGGAUUGACUGCAUCCUCAUGGAUGCUAGUGAGAUUUGUUUCCACUGAGCCACAGCAGGAACUCCUCAAGUUUUUUACAAAUAGUAAUAUUCAAAGGAGAAAGUAUAUAAUAGAAUAAUAAUAACUUAAUAAAAAGCCCACUCCUUUUUGCCACACGUUAAAAGAAGUUCUAGAAGGAGGAAAAGUUUAAAUAUUUGAAAAUGAAAGAUGUCCACUUAUUUCAGGGUACUAAAAAUAGCAAUAAAUUAUCAAUAAAUUUAUCAACUCAAAAGCAGAACUGAUAAUGAAAAGUAGAUAUGUGAUACGAAUACAGAAAGAUUGAAAACAUCUACAGAUUAAAUAACCCACAGACAUAAUUAAAUGUUAACUGAAUUAGAAAGUCAAUUUAAAUUCCUGGUAAUUACAAAUUCAAUACUUUUGAUGUUUAUAAAUGUCUUGUAAAUCAACAAGAAACUGGAGUAUCUUGACAGAAAAACAGAGGACAAUAUGAAAAGCCAACUUAAAAAAGAAAAAGAUGUCAAUGGUCAACAAAUGCAUUAAAAAUUAAGACAAAUAAAUACAUUUUAACAUACCACCUCUUGAGUAUGUUAUUAGAAAAAAAAAUGAAAAUAAACUCUAGUGCACAGAACUGGCAAGAAUUUGACACAAUGAUAACUCUCAUAUACUGCUUACAGGAGAAUAAAUUGGAACAACUAUUGGACAAGUAAUAGUAACAUUUUAAAUUUUUCACAUAUUCCUGGAUCAAUGUCCUCCACUUCUAGGAAUUUAUCUGAAUAAUCAAGAAUGUGUUAAGGCUAUAACGUUAUUCAUGUUAGAGUACACAUCAAAAUUAAAAAUAAUAGGAGUUCCUGUGGUGGCUCAGUGGUUAACGAAUCCGACUAGGAUCCCUGGCCUUGCUCAUAGGUUAGGGAUCCAGCGUUGCCGUGAGCUCUGGUGUAGGUUGCACACACCUCGGAUCCCGCGUUGCUAUGGCUGUGUCAUAGGCCAGUGGCUACAACUCCAAUUCGACCCCUAGCCUGGGAACUUCCAUAUGCCACGGGAUUGGCCCUAGAAAAGGCAAAAAGACAAAAAUAAAAAUAAAAAAUAAUAAACAACUGAAGUGCAGAGAAGGGAAGAAUAAAUCAAUUAUAGUAUAUGCAUACAUUCGAACACCAUGCUCUAAAAAUUGCGUUACAGGAGAAUACCAAGGACAUGAAGAAAAGUUCAGAUGUUAAGUUAAAGUUACUACCCCAUACCAAAAUAUCCAUAGCAAAAUUUCUAGAUAAGUGCAUAAAAAAGUUAUUAAAAAUAUGAUUACUAGCAUCUUUUAGGCAUUGAAAUGACAGGCGGUUUUCCUUUUUUGUGCAUUCACCUAAAAACAUACAAUAAUAAAAUAAAAUAUUAAAAUGUACAAUAAAAUCUCUGCAGUAAUGCUCCCUACAAUAAUUAGUUGAGAUAAGACACGACUGACUUUUCAUGUCUGUCCUCUAUGGAACCCCAGUUCUCAAACAGGGACAAGUCAAGUUCUACUUCAGGGAGAAAGGGUCACAGGACAUGGAAAGAAAGGUCAUUAAUGGAAAUAACAGGCAACCCCUCUGGGAAGGCAGGGAAGUGGAAGUCAGGUCCCCAUACCUCGUGGACUCAUGGUCCAAUCCUCCCAGAGGGGCCAAUGAAAGAGCCACCAACUCGACAGGACAUUCAAAGAACGGUGAAUGUCCUAUCUAGAAAGUCUCAGCCAGCCACAGGAUCCUGAAUCAUCACCUUGGAUAUUAAAGGCAGAACAGACAAUGCCACUAAAAGAUGCCAAACCACAACCAGGACCUAGAUAGCUCCCAUAGAGGGACCCUGGAAUCUCAAGCCAGACAGUAACACAGCCUUGCUCUGUCCAUGUUGUUAACGUCUCAAUAAUCCAAUCUCUCAUUUCUAAUGACAAUAUUUGGGAGCCCACUUAUAACAUUAUGGCAGGAUUUUAUUUGGUUUCAUUUAUAAUCCAAAAAUAGAAUUUAUACAUUUAAAUUAAUAUUAAGUAAUAUUUAUGUUAAUAUUUAAAUUAAUAUUUAAGAAAAAUUCCAACCACUUGGAAAUUUAAACAUACUGUCCUAAAUAACUAUGGAGAUAAAAUUUUUUGAAAAAGAAUUUUUUGGCCAUGCCUACAGCAUGUGGAAGUUUCCAGGUCAAGGACUGGACCUGCGCCACUGUUGUGCUCCAAGCCACUGCAAUAACAAUGCUGGAUCCUUAACUGCUAGGCCUCCCUGAAAACUCCAAGAAUAAAAAAUAUUUUAUUGUAAUUACAAACUAUAAACAAUUUAGAAUAUAUUUUUAAAAAUCAAUUUAGAAUAUAUUUUUUGAAUCACCAUUCAAACUUAAAGAACAGGUGCAAAGGCACAUUCAAAAGGAAAUUCAUAGCAGUAAAUAUUUUUGUUCCAAGAAAAAGGGAAAAUCAAUAACUGAAGCAUUCACUUCAAGACAUUAAGUUAGAAAAAAAGGAAUGAUAUUUUAAAAAACAAAAAUAACACAAAGGAAAUAGAACGUGAAAAUAUACCAGAACUGAGAAGCAUACCCAAGAGCUGGUUAUUUGAAAAACAAACAAAUGACAGACAGUGACAGAGUUUAUUAGAAAGAGAAAGAAUCUACUGUGAUAGGAUCAUAGUUCGAAAAUUAUUAGUGCACUUUUCUCUUUUAUCUGACUUUGACAUGAAUUUUCCCUAGUUAUUUUAAAGCAUUCUUUGAGGAGCAUAAAGAGAUGAAGACUUUAUCUUGAAAGAGUAAAGUGAGAUUCAGCCUCAGACAAGCAAAACAGAAUGUGCUAUAGUCCCAAGAAAAGAUUUUCCAUAUUCCUCCCAUUUUCCCUCUUUAGCACAUUAACCACCUUGCCUCGAAGACUCAGCUCCUAAAGCUUUCUGAACCUUUUUUUUUUUGUCUUUUAGGGCCAUACCCACAGCAUAUGGAAGUUCCCAGGCUAGGGGUCAAAUUGGAGCAGCAGUCACCAGCCUACACCAUAGCCACAGAAACUUGGGAUCUGAGCUGCAUCUGCGACCUACAUCACAUCUCCUGGCAAUGCCAGGUCCUUAACCCACUGAUCAAGGCCAGGGAUCGAACCCAAGUCCUCAUGGAUACUAGCCGAGUUCAUUAACCACUGAGCCACAACGGGAACUCUCUUUUAAAAACAACAAAAACAAAAAACUCCUGGUCCCCAAUUUACCCUUAAGCCUUAGGUUUGAGUCAGGCCUGUAGGUUUGAGGCAGGAAUAAAAGAAAACAUGAGGCAGGAGAAAGAGGCAUAUUUCCAGCCUAAAACAAAGAUGGAAAGAAGAGAAAGAAAGGAAAAAGAGAGCUUUGCCUUGAAAAGAGAAAGGUAACAACAGGAUAGAUGGGGCUUUGCCACCUCCCCCAAUUAAGACUCUGAAUAAACAGAUCAUUUCUUGGGUAGUCUUCAAUCCUGAAAUAACUUAGAGUAGGGUCACAUCUACUUCGUCGGGCAAGCAGAGGGAGGCCCUGAUACUUUGUUUUCUGAACCAGUCUUGGUCCUUGUAUGUUUAGAUGGGGCACUAAAAUAGGAGGCUGGCUGUAGAGCUAGCUAGCCAGAGCUGCAUAAGACAGCACUGUAGCAAAGGCUGCAGAGAACAACCCAGGACUGGACUAAAUGAGAAUCGACACCCAUUCCCUGAAAAGGAGCAUUGGUGGGAGCGCAGGUGAGACCCAGAGAGUGGGGAGUACCAGCAGGUAGAAACUAAGGAACCACAAAGUGCAGCUUUCCUAAUUGGCUGUCCUCAGGGUACCCAGCCAGCAAAUGGGAAAUGGAUGCUAUCAUCGCCUGGGAGAGUAGAGGAGUCAAAGGGUACCAUGACCAUGAACCCCACCUCUUAACUCUACCAUCACAACCCCUAAGCUCCUCUCCCCCUUACAUCUGGGUAUCAUCUUAGAGUAAGAGAAAAUGGUUGAAACAAUCUGAAAAAGUGAGUAUUUGCUUUCUUUAAAUAUGUCAGAAAGAGUUAAGUUGGCACAAGCACACACACCCAUGCAUACACACACACACACACACCCACCCAUCUUCCCCAGCAUCUAUGAAAGGCAUGGCAGGUAGAUUAAGAGUGUGGGAUUCUGGGAGUUCCUGUCAUGGCUCAGAGGUAACAAACCUGAUUAGUAUCCAUGAGGUUACAGGUUCGUUCCCUGGCCUGCUCAGAGAGUUGAGGAUCCUCCAAUUCAACCCCUAGGCUGGGAACUUCUAUAUGCCAUGGGUGCAGCCCUAAAAAGACAAAAAACAAAACAAAACAAAAGAGCAUGAGAUUCUGCCACUCUUGAACAUAUAUCCAGACAAAACCUGCAUUCAAAAAGAUACAUGCACCCACUGCAGCAUUAUUUACAAUAAUACAUUAUUUACAAGACACAGAAACAAUCUCAACAUCCAGUGACAAAGGAAUGGAUUACACGUACACAAUGGAAUACUACUCAGCCAUAAAAAAGAGCAAACUAAUGCCAUUUGCAGUGACAUGGAUGCAACCAGAUUCUCAUACUAAGUGAAGUAAGUCAGAAAGAGAAAGACAAAUACCAUAUGAUGUCACUUAUAUGUGGAAUCUAAAAUAUGGCACAAAUGAACAUAUCUACAAAACAGAAACAACUCACAGACAUGGAGAAUAGACUUGUAGCUGCCAAGGGACUUGUAGUUGGGGAGGGAGGUGGAUGGACUGGGAGUUUGGGGUUAGUAGAUGCUAACUACUACAUUUAGAAUAGAUAAGCAAUGAGGUCCUACUGUAUAGCACAGGGAACUAUGUCCAACCACUUGUGAUAGAGCAUGAUAGAAAAUAAUAUGAGAAAAAGAAUGUAUAUAUAUGUGUGUGUGUGACUGGGUCACUUUGCUAUACAGCAUAAAUUGACAGAACCUUAUAAAUCAACUAUACUAUAAGAAAAAUUUUUAGGAGUUCCCGUUGUGGCUCAGCAGAAAUGAACCCAACUAGUAUCCAUGAGGAUGUG